GAUGAAGAACGUAGCGAAAUGCGAUAAGUAAUGUGAAUUGCAGAAUUCCGUGAAUCAUCGAAUCUUUGAACGCACAUUGCGCCCUCUGGUAUUCCGGGGGGCAUGCCUGUCCGAGCGUCAUUUGCAACCCUCAAGCCCGGCUUGUGUGAUGGGUGCCGUCCCCUACGGGACGCGCCCCGAAGGCAAUGGCGGCGUCGCGGUUAUCCGAUCAGCCAAAGUGUAUGGGGCUUUGUCACUCACUUUACGGCCCGGACCGGCGCCAGUCCGAAUCAAUCUUUUUUCUAAAGUUGACCUCGGAUCAGGUAGGGAUACCCGCUGAACUUAAGCAUAUAAUAAGCGGAGGA
rnacentral:misc_RNA from 1 species